GAUGAGCUGAGGCCAGGCUGGACCACUAGAAUGCAGCAAGAGCAGCUGAGCCCAGUGCUCUGGUCUCUAUUAUGUGGAGCGUAAGGGAGAGGGAGAUGGAUGAGGUCAUACUAUUGCAAUCACUUGGGAAAAAAUACACAAACUUCCAAAACUGCAAGAUGCUUUCUACUGCCACCAGACCUCCUUUGGAGGUUUUCCUACCGCUUAAUAACCAGGAACUUGUUGGCGUCUGACAGAGCAUCUCAGAUUUCUUACAUAAAAUGUGGAAUUGUCAAUAGUCAGAUGCAUCAGUGGCCAAGGCUAUGGUGUGCAGUUUCUAUCAGCGUGUACAGGACAUCCUGCCUGGUUUUGGCCUCAAGAGCUGCCAUUGAUGGACACAGAGAGUGUUAAAACCCAGAGCACAUAAACCAGGAUGAGAAAAUUAAUCAGAAGAUAAAAGACAGCGGCUUUGGGAUCCCUGGCCGAGCCCUCCUGCAUGCUCCUGGGACAUCCUUUCAGACCAGCAGCACCAUCCCGUGCAGGGGCUGUGACAGAUGACUUAUAAUGUAGACAUCACCUCUGCUGGUGGACAGCCUUCGGAUCUGCUGAGUCCUUUUAUAAUAAAUAAAACCAAACACGACA
ensembl:processed_transcript 1700108F19Rik RIKEN cDNA 1700108F19 gene